rnacentral:RNase_P_RNA from 1 species
AAAGAAGAUAAAAUGUCUGCCUGACCACUACUUUGUGAGUUUUAAAAAGGAGACUUCCAAAGUAGUGGUCAGGAGGAAAGUCCGAACACCAGAGGGUAGGAUACUUCUUAACAGGAAGUCCCGGUAACGGGGAGACAGCUCCACAGAAACAAACUACUCCAAAAGUACGGGGAAAAGGUGAAAUGGUGGUGUAAGAGACUACCAGGUUCCGGUGUGAACC